rnacentral:rRNA from 1 species
GACGAACGCUGGCGGCGUGCUUAACACAUGCAAGUCGAACGGAAAGGCGAUGCGUUUGUGGGGUGCUCGAGUGGCGAACGGGUGAGUAACACGUGAGUAACCUGCCCUUGAAUGUGGGAUAACUUCAGGAAACUGGGGCUAAUACCGGGUAGGAGCUCCUGCUGCAUGGUGGGGGUUGGAAAGUGUCGGCGGUUGUGGAUGGACUCGAGGCUUAUUAGCUUGUUGGUGUGGUAGUUGCUUACCAAGGGUUUGACGGGUAGCCGGCCUGAGAGGGUGACCGGCCUCAUGGGGACUGCGAUAGGGACCAGAAGCGAACGGGCGGCAGCAGUGGGGAACAUUGCACAACGGGCCGACGCCUGAUGUAGAAACGCCGCGUGCGGGAUGCCCUCUUUCGGGUUGUAAACAGAUUUGGAAUGUGCCGAAGAGUGCGUGACGGUAAUGGGUCAAGAAGCCCCGGCUAACUACGUG